rnacentral:lncRNA from 1 species
CCCAGCGUGCCAGCCCCGGAGUUCAGCCUCCCGAGCUGCGGCGCCCGCAGCGGAGGAGGUUUUCAGUGGCUGAUUGAAACUCACUGCAAAAUCACCACGACUCUUUCACCUACUGAGAUGAUUGACCGAGAUGUCAGGGACAGGCUUGAAGAUUCCUGAUGUCUCAGCACCCAGCACGGCUGUCAGCCUCGGCAGGAGGAAGACCACGGAAAGUGAGUUUUCUGGGCAGGUUGGAGAGCUGCUGACAGUGAGAAUGAGCAUGGUGAUUACAUCUCAAUAUAUUAAACUGGCUGAUAGAGGGAAUAAAACCACAGACAAAGUGUAGAGGGGUAGAUUAACAUGUUUUGUCAGAAAUGUCUGAAGUAGAAAAUGAAG